UAAUAUUUUCAAGAUGAGGAGGACAGGUUUCCCUCGGCCAUUGGUUGCCCGGAUAUAUCACCAUACCUAGCUUCCAUCUUUUUGCCACGUAUUGCCGGCCCCCAUACGUACUCAACCCUAUAAAUCAAACCCUUACAUUUCAGAGUUGAAUCGUUUAAGAAAAAAUGCCAGACCAUCCACCACCACCACACGGCGGCCACGGUCACGCACCACCCCCAGGUCCGGGACACCACGAGCCUCCUCCGCCCCAUGGCCAUGCUCCUCCUCCGGGGCCUCAUGCACCUCCUCCGGGACCCCAUGCACCUCCUCCGGGACCCCAUGCACCUCCUCCGGAACCCCAUGCACCUCCUCCGGGACCCCAUGCACCUCCUCAUGAUCCACACAAGCCACAUGACUGUCACCACGGUCACCACCACCCAUGAACCGAACUAGUCAUGAGGCCACGAUCGAGAAGCUAGUCUCAGCAAGUUGUUAUCUAUUUAUCUUUGUGCCUGUAAUGUGAUCUAGCUGCGGUUGUAGUUCUGAGUUGCUGGGUUUACUGGCUUUGCUCCAUUGAUCUCAUCGUUAUGUAAUGACUAAAAUAUGAGGACUAUGUAUGUAUCCAAAAGAAGGCUGAUCAUAUAUGUAUAAUAAGAAGAGUACUGGCUUUGUGGUUUAUGUAUAAUCCGCUUGUGUAAAACUUCUUCUUUUAUCCGUCUAAAUGUGAUGUAUAAUCAGAAAAUAUGGCCAGUUUGUCAUCUUGACCAACCUGAACUUACAAACUAAUUAAUUAAGUCAAUCUCCCCAAUUUCAUCAAUCUUCAUUAGGAUUUCAUCACUAGCUCAUUCCUUCACAGAUAAUUAACCAUUUGCUCGAUUGCUCUUAACAAACUGUAAUAGCCAAGAGGCAAACGCAUCCAUCUAAAUUCUAAAAAGUUAUUAACACAGGCUAGGGGUAAAUUAUCCUUUGUUCAGACCAAUCUCACAGUUGAAGCGAUGAAUUGGCUAAAACAAAAGCCUACGGGCAGAAAAACAAAGCAUCUCUAUUCGUACGGAAGAAUGACUUCCAUAUAUAGUAAGCCUUAUAGUUAUAACACCGUAAGUGUAUAAGAAUAGGAAUUCAUAAACGCAAUAAGAAGAAGACCGUGAAAGAGAUCGAAGAUUAAAGCAGGCCUUAAUGUCUUGUAUAUUCUGUACAAAAUUUCAACAGCCAGAUUUUCUCGAUGCAUUCGUCAGCUUCUGUUUGUAACCUUUCUUCUGUCAAAUCCUCCAUGGCUUUUCACGAGCAAUAAUUCUUGCAAGGUCCCAUUAACAAGCCUCACGUACGUUGUUCUUAUCUCCUUUUCCUUAGCUCACCAAGAAUUCAACUAUUACCAAGUGCAGCAACUAGUUUCUGUGAUCGAUCUACGGAAAGUUAAAGUUAUUGCUCAAAAGAGAAAGAGAAAACGGAAGUUAAAGUUCCAUGCUGCCCUAGUUCAAGUACGCACUCAGUUAUGAUCUUGUGGUUCUUACAAUGGAUGAAUGGAUGAAGCAUUACCACACAAAUACUCAGAAGAGAAAAACAAAACAACCACAGUGCACGAUUAACAUGCUAGCUAGCUUUCAUUGUGUGCAAAUAUCCUGAGCUACCAUUCCACCAAAACAAGCUAAAUAAGUUUAUCCUUGUAUGGAUAUUAUGUGAAUCGAAAUAAUUGUAUAUUUGAUUCUUAGAUAUUAUGUGGCACCUAUUACAACGAAGCAUGUGCCAUAUUCUGAAGAUAAUGUCGACACAUCUGAAUCAUCUAGAGCCCGUACCGACACCUUUCUCCUAUAAAAUCAACUCCUACUAGCUUAAACUCUUCAACAGUUCGCCACAUCAAGAACAACUUUCUUUUUGUUUAUACAAGCUAGUAGUCUCACCAAGAAUUCGAAGAUGCAUCACGGUGAUCAUCACGGCGGACCACCACACCACGGAGGAGGUCCGGGAGGAGGUCCGGGAGGUCCAGGAGGCGGCCCUCAACAUGGUCAUGGUCAUCAAGGAGCUCCGGGAGGAGGGCAUGGAGGACCAGGAGGAGGAGGGCAUGGAGGGCAAGGAGGAGGAGGACACGGAGGACCAGGAGGAGGAGGACAUGGAGGAGGAGGAGGAGGAGGACGAGGGGGGAGGAGGAGGACAUGGAGGAGGAGGAGGAGGAGGACGAGGGAGGAGGAGGAGGAGGACAUGGAGGAGGAGGAGGACGACGGAGGGCAUGGUGGUCACUGAUCAUGGCGCUAGACUACGUAUACUACUUGUGGUGUACUAGCUGGCUGAAUAAGUCUCUCUAUGUGACUUCUGUAGUAUUGUUUGUGUGUUAUCAUUUCCUAGUUGGGUCGAUCAGAUCCUAGAUAGUGAAGCUAGCUAGGGGAGUCGAUCUUGUGUUUGGAGUCUGUUAAUUAAUGUAUGUGUAUGGAUGUGUAAUAAAACCAUACUAGCUAUGUAUUUGAUUCGAGGCUUAACAUAUAUUGCAUGCAGCUAUAUAUAUAUAUAUAUAUAUAAUAUCCUUAGAUGACUAAGAACAUAAGAAACAGAGCAGUACUAUUGAUGAUUUACAAGAUUCAAUUUGUAUAAGUGAUCUUUGGCUUGUCCUAAUUAACCAUCAAGCAAAGCGCUAAGAACGAACAUAUUAUAUAUACUGCCAGAUGAUCAAGCAACUUUGCAGAGGGAUCAUGACGAAAUGUCCAUCUAGCAGCUUAAAUGCUUAAUUAGAACAAUUUUGCAAAACAAACACAAACUUGUAUAAUACGGUACCGAAAAUAUAAGUAUAACCGUUUGAAAUGUCAAGUUUAUCAAUCUUAUGAAAUCGAAGUAUCGUAAAUCGAUAAUGAUCUUCUUCAAAACUAGAACGAGAAUGUAACGUGUCUAUAUGACACUAUAAAUGUCUACGAAAUCAUGCGUUAAGAACAUAAUAUUAUAUUCCUUCGUUUUUUACUAAAGAAUAUCAUUACCGUUAAGCUUUAAUUGACAUACGUACGAUUGUACUUUGUAGUGAUACAUCUAAUUAUAUUGGUCGUGUGGUGCCCUUAGUAUAUUAAAAGGAAAAAACUAAAGAGACCAAAAGGCCCAAAGGAAACCACAGAAAUUGUCAUAAAGGUACAAGUGCAGCCCAACUUUCNNNNNNNNNNNNNNNNNNNNNNNNNNNNNNNNNNNNNNNNNNNNNNNNNNNNNNNNNNNNNNNNNNNNNNNNNNNNNNNNNNNNNNNNNNNNNNNNNNNNNNNNNNNNNNNNNNNNNNNNNNNNNNNNNNNNNNNNNNNNNNNNNNNNNNNNNNNNNNNNNNNNNGUCCUGAUCAUCACCUUCCUUGCCUAUGCUUCCUUCCACGCCUCCAGGAAGCCCCCCAGCAUCGUCAAGAGUGUUCUUGGCCCCAAACUCCUGUCCAAUUCGAGCUCUUUCGACACCGGUUGGGCUCCCUUUAAUGGCCCUGAUGGCACUCACAGGCUUGGAGAACUUGAUCUUGCAUUUCUAUCUGCAUAUUCUAUUGGAAUGUAUUUUGCAGGGCAUGUUGGUGAUAGGAUUGAUUUGAGGUUGUUUCUUGCUUAUGGGAUGUUAGGGAGUGGAGUUUUGACUUGUCUUUUCGGGUUAGGUUAUUGGUGCAAUGUGCAUAUGUUGUGGUACUUUGUGGGUGUGCAAGUUGUGUGUGGGUUGUUUCAGUCAAUAGGGUGGCCUUCUGUUGUGGCAGUUGUGGGGAAUUGGUUUAGGGUUUAGACAGCGGCCAUCACACGCCGGCCACGGUCACGCACCACCCCCAGGUCCGGGACACCACGAGCCUCCUCCGCCCCAUGGCCAUGCUCCUCCUCCGGGGCCUCAUGCACCUCCUUCGGGACCCCAUACACCUCCUCCGGAACCCCAUGCACCUCCUCCGGGACCCCAUGCACCUCCUCAUGAUCCACACAAGCCACAUGACCCGCACCACGGUCACCACCACCCAUGAACCGAACUAGUCAUGAGGGAUCACGAAGCUAGCUAGUCUCAGCAAGUUGUUAUCUAUUUCUGCCUGUAAUGUGAUCUAGCUGCGCUUGUAGUUCUGAGUUGCUGGGUUUACUGGCUUUGCUCCAUUGAUCUCAUCGUUAUGUAAUGACUAAAAUAUGAUGACUAUGUAUGUAUCCAAAAGAAGGCUGAUCAUAUAUGUAUAAUAAGAAGAGUACUGGCUUUCUGGUUUAUGUAUAAUCCGCUUGUGUAAAACUUCUUCUCUGUUAUCGGUCUAAAUGUGAUGUAUGAUCAGAAAAUAUGGUCAGUUUGUCCUCUUGACCAACCUUAACUUACAAACUAAUUAAGUCAAUCUCCCCAAUUUCAUCAAUCUUUAUUAGGAUUUCAUCACUCAUUCCUUCACAGAUAAUUAACCACACAUCCAAGCUGCAUUUGCUCGAUUGCUCUUAACAAACUGUAAUAAUUAACCAAGAGGCAAACGCAUCCAUCUAAAGUCUAAAAAUUAAGUUAUUAACACAAGGUUAAAUUAUCCAUUGUUCAGACCAAUCUCACAGUUAGAGCGAUGAAUUGGCUAAAACAAAAACCUACGGGAG
rnacentral:lncRNA from 1 species